AUUGAACGCUGGCGGCAGGCCUAACACAUGCAAGUCGAGCGGAUGAAGGGAGCUUGCUCCUGGAUUCAGCGGCGGACGGGUGAGUAAUGCCUAGGAAUCUGCCUGGUAGUGGGGGAUAACGUCCGGAAACGGGCGCUAAUACCGCAUACGUCCUGAGGGAGAAAGUGGGGGAUCUUCGGACCUCACGCUAUCAGAUGAGCCUAGGUCGGAUUAGCUAGUUGGUGGGGUAAAGGCCUACCAAGGCGACGAUCCGUAACUGGUCUGAGAGGAUGAUCAGUCACAUGGGAACGGAGACAGGGUCCAGACGCCUACGGGAGGCAGCAGUGGGGAAUAUUGGACAGUGGGCGAGAGCAUGGUCCAGCGAUGCGGCGUGUGUGAAGAAGGUCUUCGGAUUGUAAAGCACGUUAAGUUGGGAGGAAGGGCAGUAAGUUAACACCUUGCUGUUUUGACGGUACCAACAGAAUAAGCACCGGCUAACUUCGUG
rnacentral:rRNA from 1 species